AGCUUUGCACAGUGGCAGUAUCAUAGCCAAUGAGGUUCAUCUGAGGCGCAAUUAUGGCUAAUUGAAAACUUUUCCCAAAAUAUAGGAGGGGAAAUUGGUACUUACUUGUAG
rnacentral:snRNA from 1 species